rnacentral:pre_miRNA from 15 species
AGCCAUGGAGCCUUCGCCGAUUAUGACACUGAAGCGUAACCGAACACCAUAUUUUGAGAUUCUGCUACGCGCAGUGCCAUGCUCGGCGCGUUGGCUCCAUUAAA